GUUCCGUAGAGAAAAACUACCGCGCGACAAAGGUUCCGACACCUCCUUCUGAAUGACUGGAAAACACAUGCUGCCCUCUAUUGGUACUUUCUCAGACAAUCACUGUCGGGUAAUCAACAAAAAGCACAACGUACUCUUUAAAGUGAUCCAUAGUUUGCUCAUAAUACAUUAUCAGAGUUAGGAAGACUCCAGGUGAGAUUUCCCCUGGGUCAACAUUCUCCAUGUGUCUUUGUUGAUUCUCUCACAGAACUCUGGAUUCUCCCACAGUCCGCAGAAAUGAAAGUAAGGGGAACAUGUCACCUAGGUGUGACUGAGAGCAUGAGAAGUUUUACUCUAGAUGUAUUACUAGCAACAGUUACUUUAAUAUAAUUAAAAAAUGAUUUUCUUGUUUUCUUAUGAUGCUUGAAUCUCUGUGUUCUUUUGUUAAAACUGCAAAAAAUCACAGCAAGGCAUAAAUACAUUUGUUAUUGCACAUGUAUCAAAUUACAAGGCUUAUUUACUGAGCCUGCAUGUGGUAAACUGUAGUUCCAGGUUCGCUGGUGCCACAUGACUACAGUCAUAUGAGCAAAACAAGUUUCGCUUUUACUUUGAGAAUGUCCAUGGCGGCUGAGUGAGGACAGCCAAUAACAGCAGAGGAAUGGUUGUGUCGUUUGUGGCGGCGCUGAUGGGAAUGACGGCUGGAGGUUUCGUUUUAAACCAAACAGCAGCGACGGCGGUGCAGCAGGUUCCCUCUCAGUGGUAUCUCAAAGUUCACGGCCUGGUCCAGGUAGCAGGUCUGGGCGGAAUAACAUGUCUGCUGGGGUGUCUCGGGCUCUGCCUGGCUUUCCUAUGCGCAGCUUGUGCUACUGCGGUGCCAACACUGCUGAGGGAGACGAGAAUCCCUUUCCUGAAGACGGCUUGCUGUGGUCUCACCAUAUUCCUGGGAUGUGGAAUAUCAGGAUCAUUGCUCGGGUGGACCUGUGCCAUGCUGGUGACCUUGGGCCUGAAAGGCUAUUGUGUCUUUGGUUUUAUCUUCAGCCUCAUCCUGCUGUUCAUAAACAAAUGGCGGAUAGUGGAAGCUCCAUCUAGGAUGCUGGUCCUGCACGCUGUGACGCUGGUCACGAUGUGCCUGGGGGUGUGGUCUGGACAGGCUAUGGAUAUUACAAAGCCCAGACUGGUUCUGGUCAACAUCCUCCUGGUCCCAGCAUCAUUUUUGAUGGGCUUGUUGGUCACCACCUUCAUUUUGAGGAAGCAGAACGGAUACAUCGUGCUCAGCUUUGUCUUUCUGGUCCCAUUGUCAGGACUGGUCUUUGGGCUUGGGACUGAGCGUCAUCAGGGGGACAAGCCUGUGUUGUACAACACCUUCUACACGAUACAAUUUUUAGUCUACGCAGCAGAGAUGCUGACUGGGAUCCUUGGCAUUCUAGGUGGGAUAUGUCUGAGCCUGUGGGAUCCAGGCCAGGCAGGGAGGCUGUCUUUCUGGAUCUCUAUCCCUGCUGCCGUCACCCUGUAUGUUCUGGAUAAGGACAAUCCACACACAGGUCUCCUGGGUGUCACUCAGCAGUGGGUGGGUGCAGGAGGGGUGCUGGGCCUAUUGUCCGGCCUGGCCGCAGCCUCUGGAGUUGCUCUGGGACUCGGCAUCAUGUCAGCAGGUCUGAAACUUGUGGCAGCUGACAACGACAUCCUCAGGUCGAUUAACCUCUGCCGUGCCGCAGAAGGUGGCGGCAGCAGUAACCCUUGUGCGUUGGGGAACGCCGUGGUGACUUUGGCUGUUCUUGGCGUGGUGAUGAUGGGCUCCACCGUCCUAGGAGUGGCCGGAUUCCUGACUGCUGCUUUGGGCUCCUCAGGACACCACGGGACAGUACUGGCAGGCACAAUAACAAUACUAAAAGCAAUUUCCUUGUUGUCAAACUCAAACGUGUGACGUGUUUAAUGCUUAAGAAAUGUAUCUUACAUCACCAACGAAGAAUCUGACAUGCAGAAAUGAUCUCUGGCAUUCACAAACCGCCCUCCUCAAAGAGUCACCACACAAUAUGAGGAGACACAACUGUCAAUCUUUUAUUAAAGAAUUCAUACAGAUUUAAGGAUUCCGAGGUCGCCUCCUGCUACAGGUUCUUUGUUCUAUCUCACAACUCAUCAGCAGAACGUUGCAGUAGAACCAGUUUAGCUCAGAAGUCAUUUUUAACUAUAAUGUUCACAUACCAAAUGCACCAAUCCAAAUGCACCAUCUUGGCAUUUCAACCUGACGAAGUAGUGUAGAUCAGACUGUGACUGUGGAUACGAGUGAUCUCGGAACACCAGAACCACUAGAUCUUCGCCUGGAUCCCAACCGCCGUCGGCAUCAGUGACAGUGAGAUCCUGUAGACCAAGACAGGUUGGACAGGAAGCUGCUGGUGGGCGUGUCCUGCGCUAAACCGGUUCACCUGAAGUCUCCGGCACGGCUGCAGCACCAGAAACGGCCCGUCUUCACUCCAGAGGAAGCAGA
ensembl:lncRNA